rnacentral:rRNA from 1 species
AUCAUUACCGAGUGAAAACUCCCAACCCUCUGUGAACCUACCACUAUUUUCUUCGGCGGAACGUCCCGGCGCAGGCCUCGCGGUCUGCCCGGAACCAGGCGCCCGCCGGGGGCCCUAACUCUGUAUUCUAAAGCAUUUCUGAGUCCCUAUAAAUAAAUUAAAACUUUCAACAACGGAUCUCUUGGCUCUGGCAUCGAUGAAGAACGCAGCGAAAUGCGAUAAGUAAUGCGAAUUGCAGAAUUCAGCGAAUCAUCGAAUCUUUGAACGCACAUUGCGCCCGCCAGAAUUCUGGCGGGCAUGCCUGUUCGAGCGUCAUUACGCCCCUCGAGCCCCGCGCUCGGUGUUGGGGAUCGGCGGGUGGCCACUGGGCCCGCGCCGUCCCUCAAAUCCAUCGGCGGUCCCUCCAAGUAACCACGUGCAGUACAACAGCUCGCGUAGGGUGUGCGGAGGGGCCGGUGCCGUAAAACAACCAACUUUUUUAGUUGACCUCGAAUCAGGUAGGACUACCCGCUGAACUUAAGCAUAUCAAUAAGCGGAGGAAAAGAAACCAACAGGGAUUGCCCCAGUAACGGCGAGUGAAGCGGCAACAGCUCAAAUUUGAAAUCUGGCCCCCAGGGCCCGAGUUGUAAUUUGCAGAGGAUGCUUUUGGCGAGGUGCCGUCCGAGUUCCCUGGAAUGGGACGCCGUAGAGGGUGAGAGCCCCGUAUGGUCGGACACCGAGCCUCUGUAAAGCUCCUUCGACGAGUCGAGUAGUUUGGGAAUGCUGCUCUAAAUGGGAGGUAUAUGUCUUCUAAAGCUAAAUACCGGCCAGAGACCGAUAGCGCACAAGUAGAGUGAUCGAAAGAUGAAAAGCACUUUGAAAAGAGAGUUAAACAGUACGUGAAAUUGUUGAAAGGGAAGCGCUCGUGACCAGACUUGGGCCCGGCGAAUCACCCGGCGGUUCUCGCCGGGGCACUUUGUCGGGCCUGGGCCAGCAUCGGUUCGCGCCGGGGGAUAAAAGCGGCGGGAAUGUGGCUCCCCUCGGGGAGUGUUAUAGCCCGCCGCGGAAUACCCUGGGGCGGACCGAGGACCGC